rnacentral:rRNA from 1 species
UACGAAGGGGGCUAGCGUUGCUCGGAAUCACUGGGCGUAAAGGGCGCGUAGGCGGAUCUUUAAGUCGGGGGUGAAAGCCCAGGGCUCAACCCUGGAAUUGCCUUCGAUACUGGAGAUCUUGAGGCCGGAAGAGGUAAGUGGAACUGCGAGUGUAGAGGUGAAAUUCGUAGAUAUUCGCAAGAACACCAGUGGCGAAGGCGGCUUACUGGUCCGGUUCUGACGCUGAGGCGCGAAAGCGUGGGGAGCAAACAGG